rnacentral:rRNA from 1 species
AAACUAACCAGGAUUCCCCUAGUAACGGCGAGUGAAGCGGGAUGAGCUCAAGCUUAAAAUCUCUGUGCCAGUUUGGCAUGGCGAAUUGUAGUCUAUAGAGGCGUUGUCAGUGCAGCUGUGCGGGGUAAGUUCCUUGGAAGAGGACAGCAUCGAGGGUGAUACUCCCGUUUGUACCUGUGCGGCUUGCGCGUACGACACGUUUUCUUCGAGUCGCGUUGUUUGGGACUGCAGCGCAAAGUAGGUGGUAAAUUCCAUCUAAAGCUAAAUAUUGGUGCGAGACCGAUAGCGAACAAGUACCGUGAGGGAAAGAUGAAAAGAACUUUGAAAAGAGAGUUAAAGAGUACCUGAAACUGCUGAAAGGGAAGCGAAUCGUAUCCAGUGUCUAUAAUCUGCGGCAUAUUUCAUUGGCGGCGGUGUGCGUGCUAUUGCGUCGGAAGCGGCUUUUGUUGCUCUGUGCUUUGGUGUUGCUUGUUGCUGCUGGUGCCCUGUGUUGCGGUGGGACGUCAGAGUCAGUUCGUAUGCUGCGGGAAAUGGCUGCCGAGGAGGUAGGUCGGGAUUUCGGUCCUGGCUGUUAUAUCUUGGUAGUUUGUUGUCGUGGUUGGGACUGAGGUGCCUACAAUGUGCUUUUGAGUGUGCCGGGUUCUCAUUUGGUGGACUGUUUGGAUAGCUUGCUAUGCUUGUGGUUUUUUCAUCGGGUGAUUGAGUCUGGUGGUAACUUAUUGCCGUUCGGGACUUUGACGAAAUGGAGCGAUUCGGC